AUUCUCUGGUUUCUCUUAGGAUCAUAUAAAUCUUUUGCCUUCUACUAAAGACUUCUGUGAAGAGAAGCUCUGUGUUUUGAGCAGCAUUUUGUUGCCCUGCUUUUGUGGGGU